CGGAGAGCAGAUUUUGUAUUUGAAAAUCGGAGUAACUCCGCCAAAAUCAGAGUGGUUGGCAUUUCUGUAUGUUUUACAUGCAUAUCU